GGUGGGGUAAGAGCCCACCAGCGGGCGUGGCGACACGUCCGGCUAGGCAAACUCCCCGCGGUGCAAGACCAAAUAGGAAGGCGCUCGAGGGUGGCCCGCCCGACGAUCGCGCGCAUCGCGCGAUGGCGCCUUCGGGUAGGUCGCUUGAGCUGACGGGUGACCGUCAGCCCAGAGGAAUGACCGCCACCCCAGUUCCCCUCCGGGGAGAUGGGGGACAGAAUUCGGCUUACAGAUUCGUCCCAGAC
rnacentral:RNase_P_RNA from 1 species